rnacentral:rRNA from 1 species
GAUCAGGUAGGAAUACCCGCUGAACUUAAGCAUUCAUU